rnacentral:misc_RNA from 1 species
GGUUGAUAUAUAAAAGGGACCAACUAUACCAAUAUUUUGCCCUUAAACAAUUUUUUUUUCAAGAUUUUAUAGUCUGCCAAAAAUCAAAAAGAUGUUGAAAAGCAGGAGGUGCUAGCUCCCUCUUAUCCAUCCAUCCACCCACCCAUUUUGAGUUCCCUUAGGGAGUCAAAAAAUGUAUCUAUGGAAAUUUAAACCAUUUUUGGACAUUUUAGAAAAAUUUACAUCAAUACACCUUUUUUUAUCAGUGUACAAAUUCACACUGUGCUUGUUUUGUAAUUUACAAUAACAUCAAAUUCAACUGUGCAAUUUGGGUGUUUUCAGAAUUCUGUGUUCAAAUCGGUGUCACAGCUUACUACAUAUGACAUAAAGGUCUGCAUUGAAUCGUAUCAACGUCUGCUUCAAUUAAAAUACACUAAAUUUUAAAUAACCAGCCCACAAUGUGUUUUUUGUUUGUUUUGUAAGAAGAUGUGCUAUAAUAUAUCUCUCUCUUAAUUUGUUUCUAUUCACUCUGGGCAUAUUUGGGGGGCCACUAGUAUAUGGCCUGUGAAUUUGUAUGGAUCAUGCAGUGAAUCGGCUAGUUUGACACGAAUCAUUUUCUCUCUUUUUUUUCUUUCCUUCUUGUUUUCAAUUGAGUGAAAACACCAUGUAGCUAUUUAUGAUUGACAUAUUCUAUAAUAUCAAACGUGAUCAUAUUUAAGUUUUGUAUUAUAUGAUAUGGAAUAAAACUGAUUUUUAUUUAUGGUUG